rnacentral:misc_RNA from 1 species
UAUUUUCAUCAAGGGUUGCCAAAUAAAUUUUUCAAUUGAUGGUCCUAAUGAUGUUGAAGUGUGCUCUCUGUAUCCUGAUGAGGCUUUUCGUACCUUGGAUGAUUGCUUUGAAGAGUUUUUUCUUAGAUUAAAUGAGAAGCAUGUGAGUAGCAGGGAUGAAAAUGCUCCUCCAAAUCCUGUGGUUGAGCCAUUGAUAGUAACAGCAACCUGUGCCGAGCCUAAAAGUACUACAGUAAAUUGCCGAGCAUAGUUCUUGGGAGUUUGGGAUGAGAAGGCAGCAAAUAAGUUGUCGAAACUGUUUGAAUUAUCUGAGAAGUUAGAUCUGUUUGCUUUGAUUCAACUGGAUUGUCAAUGGUUUAUAAGGAAAAAGAGGUUUAUGUAUUUGU